rnacentral:rRNA from 1 species
AGAGUUUGAUUCUGGCUCAGGAUGAACGCUGGCGGCAUGCCUAACACAUGCAAGUCGAACGGGGUUUAUAUGACGAAACUCUUCGGAGGGAAGAUAUAUAAACCUAGUGGCGGACGGGUGAGUAACGCGUGGGCAACCUGCCCCGUACCGGGGGACAACAGCCGGAAACGGCUGCUAAUACCGCAUAUUCCCGCGGGGCCGCAUGGCCCUGCGGGGAAAGCUCCGGCAGUACGGGAUGGGCCCGCGUCUGAUUAGCUUGUUGGCGGGGUAACGGCCCACCAAGGCUGCGAUCAGUAGCCGGCCUGAGAGGGCGGCCGGCCACAUUGGGACUGAGACACGGCCCAGACUCCUGCGGGAGGCAGCAGUGGGGGAUAUUGCACAAUGGGGGGAACCCUGAUGCAGCGACGCCGCGUGAACGAAGAAAUAUUUCGGUAUGUAAAGUUCUAUCAGCAGGGAAGAAAAUGACAGUACCUGACCAAGAAGCCCCGGCUAACUACGUGCCAGCAGCCGCGGUAAUACGUAGGGGGCGAGCGUUAUCCGGAUUCACUGGGCGUAAAGGGAGCGCAGGCGGCACGGCAAGUCCGGUGUGAAAGCCCGGGGCCCAACCCCGGGACUGCACUGGAAACUGCCGGGCUGGAGUGUCGGAGGGGCAGGCGGAAUUCCUAGUGUAGCGGUGAAAUGCGUAGAUAUUAGGAGGAACACCGGUGGCGAAGGCGGCCUGCUGGACGACGACUGACGCUGAGGCUCGAAAGCGUGGGGAGCAAACAGGAUUAGAUACCCUGGUAGUCCACGCCGUAAACGAUGAA